rnacentral:rRNA from 1 species
UACAGAGGGUGCAAGCGUUGUUCGGAAUACUGGGCGUAAAGCGCAAGCAGGCGGUCUGUUAAGUUUGACGUAAAAUCUCCUGGCUUAACUGGGAGGGGUCGGUUGGAGACUGGCAGACUUGAGGCGAUGAGAGGGGCAUGGAAUUCCCGGUGUAGUGGUGGGAAUGCGUAGAGAUCGGGAGGAACACCAGAGGCGAAAGCGGUGCCCUGGCAUUGGCCUGACGCUGAGAUGCGAAAGCGUGGGGAGCGAACGGGG